rnacentral:rRNA from 1 species
AGAAUCAACGCUGGCGGCGUGCCUAACACAUGCAAGUCGAACGAGAAAGUGGAGCAAUCCAUUAGUAAAGUGGCGCACGGGUGAGUAACACGUGACUAACCUACCCUUGAGUGGGGGAUAACCUAGAGAAAUCUGGGCUAAUACCGCAUAAUACCUUCGGGUCAAAGGAGCAAUUCGCUUAAGGAGGGGGUCGCGGCCGAUUAGUUAGUUGGCGGGGUAAUGGCCCACCAAGACUAUGAUCGGUAUCCGGCCUGAGAGGGCGCACGGACACACUGGAACUGAAACACGGUCCAGACUCCUACGGGAGGCAGCAGUGGGGAAUUUUGCGCAAUGGGGGAAACCCUGACGCAGCAACGCCGCGUGGAGGAUGAAGCCCCUUGGGGCCGUAAACUCCUUUCGAUCGGGACGAUAAUGACGGUACGAGAGAAGAAGCCCCGGCUAACUUCGCGCCAGCAGCCGC